rnacentral:lncRNA from 1 species
UUGUCAAUACUGGUGCUGGAAGGGACCACGCUGGAGUUUAUGUAAAAACUCUAUUAUGAGUGUCAAUUUUGUUUAUUAUAUUAUAUCACAUUGAAUAGUACUUGUAUGUUCAUAAACAUUAGGCUUGUAUAUUGUACAAAAGGAUUAUUACUUGCCAAUCGGUUCAAUGUAUGUGAUUUAAAUCUAACCUAUUUGCCUAUAUACUCAGUUUGUUUUCAGUAAUAAAACUAAUUAUUUGUCCCUCUUAUCAUCUUAUGUAACAUUCUGCUUGUUGACUGAUGAUUUACUGAAUAUGAUCUUCACCUAAAAAAGUGUUGAUGAUGUCUCUGAUAGUCAUUCCUGUAAAAAGAGAUCAAAGGGUAAGUUUUUUAGACAAUUACAUAUUGGGGCAUAGAUGCAGUAAUAUUGAAACAGCCGUGAAUAUCGAAGGGAAUGCCAAAAUGUGGCAUAUUCAUUCAGUUACUCAUCCUGGUUUUUCAAACAGCUAAAGUUUCAAGGCAUUGAUAGUUACAGAUCAACCAUCAUUGACAGCAUUCAUGGGCAGUUAAAGUAUUCAAAUCAGAAAGGAAAGGGCAUGACACGUUACUGAGCUUAAAAAGAACAACUCAGAAGGCUUUUCACAUCAAUAACCAGCUAUAAAAGGGCCAUAUAUCACAUACAAAAGAGGGACAGCCGCAAGAAAAUCAGAGAGAUUACACAUACAGGGUGACACACCAUAGUUACAGAGCAUUCAGAAUACACAUACACAACAAAUACCCAAAAGAGAGUGAUAUACAUUCAUAUAUCCACACAUAUCAUACAAAUCAGAGGGCACAACACAGAAUUUGUAUCUGCUCUCUAUCACACGCAUAGAAAGAAGAGAAAAGCACACAACUAUCUGUCCUCAUACACUGACCUCACACACAUAACCGAGGACGAUUCCGGAAGCAUAUCUCACAUACACGAGAAAGGGAUAGGUUGCUGAUCAAGAACAUAGAGAUAAAGGUAAUCACGGCAAGGUUAUACAUAGGAAUGCUGUCAGGUAAGGAGGUGUUUUUUAUUUGGUGAUCAAUCUGUGUUUUGAACUUAGACGAUAAAUUUAUAAACAAUUUUGCUUAGCCAUACAGAAUUACAUACAUCCCAUUCCCAUUCAAUUGAUUUCGCAGAGACACAUAUACUGUCAUUUAACCAAUAACAAAAGUAACUAAUGCUAUAUAACUACUUUAAAGCAGUGAAAUUUGUUUCUGGAUGAACAUUCAUACCAAUUGGUUUUUUUUCUCAUCAUAUUGCUAAUUACUUCACACUAUGACAAAUAUGUAAAGUUAGAUUGGAAGAGGGAUAGGGUUCUUUACCAAAAUCCUUUGCCAAUAACCAACCGUGGAGUCAUGAUUACACUGUUUUCAUUGCGGAAUUAAUGCCAUCAUUCGCCGACCUUGUUGGUGUCCUCCCUAUGCUUUAAAGGAGACUUUGUUAGANNNNNNNNNNNNNNNNNNNNNNNNNNNNNNNNNNNNNNNNNNNNNNNNNNNNNNNNNNNNNNNNNNNNNNNNNNNNNNNNNNNNNNNNNNNNNNNNNNNNAAAACAUAAUGGUAUUUUCCCAAAUCACUAACAAUCAAUCAAAGUAGAAACAAUUUUUUGAACUACAACUACGUAAGCCUUGAUCCCCUUAAUAGGGGUACGUAGGACCAAAGUCAAUAUUGUCAGGCUCAAUAAUAAAAAAUAUUAUAUUUUACUAAUUUAAUUUCUAAAUAAAUAAUUUUUAAGGGUAUAAAAGUUCAUUUGAUUAGCGAGGGUACCGUUUUAAUACGGGUGGACGGGGUGCUAGUACCUUCCCUGAUCCGUAAUCGACUCCCGAGCUCAGAAUCUCUAUUCAUAGACCAUUUUAUCCAAAUUGGGCAUAAUAAGAGUUUUCUACGUUUUAACAGCAAAAACGUAGUGGCGACUCCAAAUCAAUCGGGAGAGGUAGAAAUUGAGUUCGCCUCCUCCCAAGUCGCAGAGCCGGUCUUCCAACCGAAAAUCGGGUCGCGACAAAAUGCAUAAAAUAUUCACUCAUAUUGUUAAUCAUUUAAUUGCUUUAGAUAAGAGUUUUGCUAUUGGUGAACUUACUAACAAAGUAUUACAUUGUCUUGAUAGAAAAUGGCAGCCAAAGGUAACAACAAUAAUGGAGUCGAAAGACUUAGACACCAUGCCUCUAGCAACUCUCUUUCGCAAACUCCAAGAGCACGAAAUGGAGUUGGGACACUUAACAAUGCAUGAAGAUUCAGACCGAAAGAGAAAGGGAAUCUCUCUAAAAGCUACAUCAUCACAACAACAAGAAGAGAAAGAUGAUGAUGAAGAUUCCAAGUUUGAAUUGGAUGAUGAAACCUUAACUCUUCUAGUUAGAAAAUUUGGCAAAUUUCUCAUGAAGAAAGGAGGGUUCAAGCAUUUUCAAAAGUAAGAGGCGAGUGAUUCAACCAAAAGAGGCAAAGUUCCCAAAGAUCGCCUCAUUUUCCAUGAGUGUGGCAAACCGGGCCAUAUGAAAUACUAAUGCCCAAGUCACCUCAAGAAGGUUGAACAUGAUAAGAGCAAUCCCCGGAACUUUAAAUCCAAGAAGGCCUACAUAGUAUGGGAUGUACCUCUAUUAUGAGUGUCAAUUUUGUUUAUUAUAUUAUAUCACAUUGAAUAGUACUUGUAUGUUCAUAAACAUUAGGCUUGUAUAUUGUACAAAAGGAUUAUUACUUGCCAAUCGGUUCAAUGUAUGUGAUUUAAAUCUAACCUAUUUGCCUAUAUACUCAGUUUGUUUUCAGUAAUAAAACUAAUUAUUUGUCCCUCUUAUCAUCUUAUGUAACAUUCUCCUUGUUGACUGAUGAUUUACUGAAUAUGAUCUUCACCUAAAAAAGUGUUGAUGAUGUCUCUGAUAGUCAUUCCUGUAAAAAGAGAUCAAAGGGUAAGUUUUUUAGACAAUUACAUAUUGGGGCAUAGAUGCAGUAAUAUUGAAACAGCCGUGAAUAUCGAAGGGAAUGCCAAAAUGUGGCAUAUUCAUUCAGUUACACAUCCUGGUUUUUCAAACAGCUAAGUUUCAAGGCAUUGAUAGUUACAGAUCAGCCAUCAUUGACAGCAUUCAUGGGCAAUUAAAGUAUUGAAAUCAGAAAGGAAAGGGCAUGACAUGUUACUGAGCUUAAAAAGAAAAACUCAGAAGGCUUUUCACAUCAACAACCAGCUAUAAAAGGGCCAUAUAUCACAUACAAAAUAGGGACAGCCGCAAGAAAAUCAGAGAGAUUACACAUACAGGGUGACACACCAUAGUUACAGAGCAUUCAGAAUACACAUACACAACAAAUACCCAAAAGAGAGUGAUAUACAUUCAUAUAUCCACACAUAUCAUACAAAUCAGAGGGCACAACACAGAAUUUGUAUCUGCUCUCUAUCACACGCAUAGAAAGAAGAGAAAAGCACACAACUAUCUGUCCUCAUACACUGACCUCACACACAUAACCGAGGACGAUUCCGGAAGCAUAUCUCACAUACACGAGAAAGGGAUAGGUUGCUGAUCAAGAACAUAGAGAUAAAGGUAAUCACGGCAAGGUUAUACAUAGGAAUGCUGUCAGGUAAGGAGGUGUUUUUUAUUUGGUGAUCAAUCUGUGUUUUGAACUUAGACGAUAAAUUUAUAAACAAUUUUGCUUAGCCAUACAGAAUUACAUACAUCCCAUUCCCAUUCAAUUGAUUUCGCAGAGACACAUAUACUGUCAUUUAACCAAUAACAAAAGUAACUAAUGCUAUAUAANNNNNNNNNNNNNNNNNNNNNNNNNNNNNNNNNNNNNNNNNNNNNNNNNNNNNNNNNNNNNNNNNNNNNNNNNNNNNNNNNNNNNNNNNNNNNNNNNNNNAAUGCCCAAGUCACCUCAAGAAGGUUGAACAUGAUAAGAGCAAUCCCCGGAACUUUAAAUCCAAGAAGGCCUACAUAGUAUGGGAUGUACCAGAGGACGAAACAACAACUAGCACAUUCGAUGAAGAGGAGACCGCUAAAUUAUGCUUAAUGGCAAAUACUCAAGAAAUUGGCAGCACAAGCGAUCUGAAUGACACGAGUGAGGUACACUAUUAUUAAUCUUCUUCGUGUUCUGAUGAGUCUCCUACUUAAGAUGAACUGUAAAGUGCAUUUGUUGAGUUACACGAGGAGAUAAAGAAACUAGCAAAGGUAAAUAUAUAUAGGAAACGAGUCACCAUAUUGCAUGAAAGUAAAAUAACUAAAAUGCAAGAGGAAUUGAAUGAAUUAAAACUAGAAAAUGAGACUCUAGAUCUUAUUUACUCUUCUGCAUCAUGUAGUUGCACCACUAAAUUAAUUGAGACUCCUAUAUGUAAUCAAUGCGAUGUUCUGAAUGCUGAAAUUUCUGAUUUAAAAGAUAAAUUAGCAAAGUUCACGAAGGGAAUGCCAAAAUGUGGCAUAUUCAUUCAGUUACUCAUCCUGGUUUUUCAAACAGCUAAAGUUUCAAGGCAUUGAUAGUUACAGAUCAACCAUCAUUGACAGCAUUCAUGGGCAGUUAAAGUAUUCAAAUCAGAAAGGAAAGGGCAUGACACGUUACUGAGCUUAAAAAGAACAACUCAGAAGGCUUUUCACAUCAAUAACCAGCUAUAAAAGGGCCAUAUAUCACAUACAAAAGAGGGACAGCCGCAAGAAAAUCAGAGAGAUUACACAUACAGGGUGACACACCAUAGUUACAGAGCAUUCAGAAUACACAUACACAACAAAUACCCAAAAGAGAGUGAUAUACAUUCAUAUAUCCACACAUAUCAUACAAAUCAGAGGGCACAACACAGAAUUUGUAUCUGCUCUCUAUCACACACAUAGAAAGAAGAGAAAAACACACAGCUAUCAUUCCUCAUACACUGACCUCACACACAUAACCGAGGAUGAUUCCGGAAGCAUAUCUCACAUACACGAGAAAGGGAUAGGUUGCUGAUCAAGAACAUAGAGAUAAAGGUAAUCACAGCAAGGUUAUACACAGGAACACUGUCAGGUAAGAAGGUGUUUUUUAUUUGGUGAUCAAUCUGUGUUUUGAACUUAGACGAUAAAUUUAUAAACAAUUUUGCUUAGCCAUACAGAAUUACAUACAUCCCAUUCCCAUUCAAUUGAUUUCGCAGAGACACAUAUACUGUCAUUUAACCAAUAACAAAAGUAACUAAUGCUAUAUAACUACUUUAAAGCAGUGAAAUUUGUUUCUGGAUGAACAUUCAUACCANNNNNNNNNNNNNNNNNNNNNNNNNNNNNNNNNNNNNNNNNNNNNNNNNNNNNNNNNNNNNNNNNNNNNNNNNNNNNNNNNNNNNNNNNNNNNNNNNNNNAAGGCCUACAUAGUAUGGGAUGUACCAGAGGACGAAACAACAACUAGCACAUUCGAUGAAGAGGAGACCGCUAAAUUAUGCUUAAUGGCAAAUACUCAAGAAAUUGGCAGCACAAGCGAUCUGAAUGACACGAGUGAGGUACACUAUUAUUAAUCUUCUUCGUGUUCUGAUGAGUCUCCUACUUAAGAUGAACUGUAAAGUGCAUUUGUUGAGUUACACGAGGAGAUAAAGAAACUAGCAAAGGUAAAUAUAUAUAGGAAACGAGUCACCAUAUUGCAUGAAAGUAAAAUAACUAAAAUGCAAGAGGAAUUGAAUGAAUUAAAACUAGAAAAUGAGACUCUAGAUCUUAUUUACUCUUCUGCAUCAUGUAGUUGCACCACUAAAUUAAUUGAGACUCCUAUAUGUAAUCAAUGCGAUGUUCUGAAUGCUGAAAUUUCUGAUUUAAAAGAUAAAUUAGCAAAGUUCACGUAUAGCAGUUAUAAUCUGAACAACCUACUUGCUGCAUCUAGAAAUGUAGGUAAUCAUGGAGGCCUAGACUAUAAACCAAAGAAUAAGAGAAAACCAUAUAGAAGGCAAGUGGCUCACAUGCAUAAUAGGUCUAAUCAUAACAUGCCUACUUGUUUUUUAACCAGCUAUAAAAGGGCCAUAUAUCACAUACAAAAGAGGGACAGCCGCAAGAAAAUCAGAGAGAUUACACAUACAGGGUGACACACAUGGCAAAUAUAUAUGGAUGCAAAAAGGGCAAGACUAUUUGAUUACUAACAAGAAAGGAUCCAAUAUAACUUGGGUACCAAAACAAGGCAAGUAAAUUGUUUUGUAGGUAUGCCUUCGGACUCUAAGAAGAGAAAAGCACACAACUAUCUGUCCUCAUACACUGACCUCACACACAUAACCGAGGACGAUUCCGGAAGCAUAUCUCACAUACACGAGAAAGGGAUAGGUUGCUGAUCAAGAACAUAGAGAUAAAGGUAAUCACGGCAAGGUUAUACAUAGGAAUGCUGUCAGGUAAGGAGGUGUUUUUUAUUUGGUGAUCAAUCUGUGUUUUGAACUUAGAUGAUAAAUUUAUAAACAAUUUUGCUUAGCCAUACAGAAUAACAUACAUCCCAUUCCCAUUCAAUUGAUUUCGCAGAGACACAUAUACUGUCAUUUAACCAAAAGUAACUAAUGCUAUAUAACUACUUUAAAGCAGUGAAAUUUGUUUCUGGAUGAACAUUCAUACCAAUUGGUUUUUUUUCUCAUCAUAUUGCUAAUUACUUCACACUAUGACAAAUAUGUAAAGUUAGAUUGGAAGAGGGAUAGGGUUCUUUACCAAAAUCCUUUGCCAAUAACCAACCGNN